rnacentral:rRNA from 1 species
GUCCACGCCGUAAACGAUGUCGACUAGCCGUUGGAGACCUUAGAGUCUUUAGUGGCGCAGCUAACGCAUUAAGUCGACCGCCUGGGGAGUACGGCCGCAAGGUUAAACUCAAAUGAAUUGACGGGGCCCGCACAAGCGGUGGAGCAUGUGGUUUAAUUCGAUGCAACGCGAAGAACCUUACCGCCCCUUGACAUCCUGGGAACUCGCUAGAGAUAGCUUGGUGCCGAAAGGAACCCAGAGACAGGUGCUGCAUGGCUGUCGU